AUGUUGAGCUCUCCAUGUAGUCAGACAUUCUACACUUCUGUCCGCAUUUGGUUGGUUGUACACCGUGUAUGUUUCGUUUGUUCGUUUCGGGCAGCAUGCUGGUACUGAUCUUCCUCUGUUGUCUACACCUAGUGGUGUUGCAGGCAGCCCCCCUCGCGAAUAUACCGCCUUUGGGUUUGGGAACAGAUCCUCGUUGGGCUGCCGUUCCUCCUAUUGGCGGCAUUCGACACUCCAGGAGUGCCGGCGGAGACAACACUGUUAAAAACCCCAACCAUGUCCCAGAGUUUCUGGUCGGGAACAGGGUGGCAAAUGGUGAACAUUAAGUGGCUAUUCAAAAAGGUGAUACAACAGAAACAUCGCUACCGCCAGCAGCAGCAGCAGCAACAACAACAACAACAACAAC